rnacentral:rRNA from 1 species
UGGGGAAUUUUGGACAAUGGGGGAAACCCUGAUCCAGCCAUCCCGCGUGUGCGAUGAAGGCCUUCGGGUUGUAAAGCACUUUUGGCAGGAAAGAAACGUCGUGGGUUAAUACCCCGCGAAACUGACGGUACCUGCAGAAUAAGCACCGGCUAACUACGUGCCAGCAGCCGCGGUAAUACGUAGGGUGCAAGCGUUAAUCGGAAUUACUGGGCGUAAAGCGUGCGCAGGCGGUUCGGAAAGAAAGAUGUGAAAUCCCAGAGCUUAACUUUGGAACUGCAUUUUUAACUACCGGGCUAGAGUGUGUCAGAGGGAGGUGGAAUUCCGCGUGUAGCAGUGAAAUGCGUAGAUAUGCGGAGGAACACCGAUGGCGAAGGCAGCCUCCUGGGAUAACACUGACGCUCAUGCACGAAAGCGUGGGGAGCAAACAGGAUUAGAUACCCUGGUAGUCCACGCCCUAAACGAUGUCAACUAGCUGUUGGGGUCUUCGGACCUUGGUAGCGCAGCUAACGCGUGAAGUUGACCGCCUGGGGAGUACGGUC